AUCCCGCGGGGCUCGGAGAAGGACCUGGCGGCCAAGACGGCUCGAUCCCUGGCUGCGCUAUUUAACGCCCAGAUUUGGGCUGAUGACCGCACGGUCAGUGCCAGCUGGUCCCCAGCUCGUCCGUGCGCCCCAGGCGCGGUACCGCAGCCAGAUGGUCCGGCCCCUACGGCCCGCGCGGUUUUCGGUCCUGCGCUCCACCCAACCCCGGUCGCCGAGGCUCCUUCUCUGCUCUCCACCGCUGAUUUACAUGCUAAUUGUGUCUGGGAAAAGUUCUUUAAUUGGCAGAAUUAGGCAGAGCAAACGAAUUGUUUCACAGGUUGAACCAAAUUAAUUCCGGGUUUAGCUCCUUCCCUUAGAGAAACAAACAAUUAAGUUGUUUUAUUUGCUUUAUGGAUGUAUUGGAAAUGCCCCACAUCGGGUUUUAGGACAUUGUUUAAAGGGACAUUAUUUUCAAUAUUAAUAUUGCAUGUUAAAUUUGUAGUAAUGCUCAGCCAAGAAGCAAGUGAUUAAAAUUACCCAAUUUAAAAGUAUAGAAUACGAGAGUUAAAGAAUUGGAGUCUACUUUUUCACGGUCAAGAAAUACCACCCAGAAUCUUCCUGGCAAUUACUAGAUCCUAGUCUCACCAUCCAAGUAGGAGCCGUCCUUCUGACCACGUGGUGUUACAUUUCCACCUGCCAGAAGAGCUGCUCCCGGAGCUGGAAAAAAAGCCAGCUAUUGUCGGGCUCCGGAAACACUCAGGGGAGCACCUGUGGGGAAGCCAGGCGAUGGAACCUCAUGACAUCAUUUCCCAUAUGUGCGCCUCGGACUCACUUCCAGAAGCCUGCCGUAAGUUUUCAGUAAAACCACUGCCCCUUCAAAGUCUUUGAAGUCUGCAAUGUAUAUCCUGUCCCUUCAGGGAAAGAAAGCCAAAGACUUAAAGAAUCACAAAGUAAUUAGAAGGAGCUUUCGCUGUUUUUUAAAAAAGUGACAUAAAGUGGAGUGUUUAAGGCCCUGGUCUCUGGAGGCCAUCUGCAGGUAAUGUAACUUAGCUGGUGACCUUGGGCGGGAUUCACCUGUAAAUGAGGAUUCUUAUUCUACUCACUCCCCAAGAAGCCUGUGAUUACAUUAGAUGAUCUUUGUAAGUCUGGAGUCCAAAGCACACACUGCUUUGUAAAGAUUAAGUGGCACAUUGUCAUCCUUGCCAUCCUCCACAUCAGUUCUGCCAUCCCGUUUUACAGGAGUUACAUGGAGGCACAGAGAAAAGAAGUGGCUUGACCUGUGUCAGUGAGUGAGUCAGGGCUGGGAGCUACCUGUAAUAACUCCUCCUCCCCUUCUUAAAUGUCUGGUGGCAGCUCCCACUUUCCUCAGAUCACCUGGAAAAAAGUGUGGAGGAAGAUUAAAAUAAAGCAGAAAGAUAAACUCACUCAGGUUCCCUGCGAAGACCACGUCUAGCUGUUUGAUCAGAAUCUCUGCUUUGAGACAAAACGGGGUAAUGAACUUGGGAGAAGAAAGGGCUGCUGCUACUCACAAUUCCUUGAGGGUAUGACCAGGGGAGCUCUUCAGUGAUGCAAAUCCCCAAGCUCAAGAUUCUAAUUCAUCAGGAAGGACUGGGACCUAGACAUGGAUUGUAGCCUAAGUUAUCUUUGAAAGAUACACAUAUGAUUAUGUCAAGCCCUGCUUGAAACACUUCAGAGGCAUCCAUAGCAGGGAACAAAGUCCAUAUGAAGAUACAGUGAGAAGGCAAGAAGGCAUUCAUCUGCAAGCCAGGAAAAGAGCCCUUACCAGAAACCAAACGCUGUGAGAACUUGAUCUUGGAAUUCCCAGCCUCCAGAACUGUGAGAAAAUAAAUUUCUGUUGUCUAAGCCACACAGUCUGUAGUAUACUGUAAUGUACUGUUAUGGCAGCCUGAGCAGAUUACGACAGGUGUCAAAGAGGACUUCAGCCUUAGCUGAAAUGUUAGAUGUAACAUUUUAAUGUUUUAGAAUGAGAAUGUAUUUAUGUAUGACUCGUGUGAUUAGAACAUUAACUUCUUAAAGUCAACUUUCUCUUCCCUCUUCACCCAUAACCGCCCUUUUUUCCUUUAUCUUCCUUUGAACAAUAUUAAUCAAGGCCUGUGGCAGACAUAUACAUUCUGAGCCUUCCAGCAACAUUUUUCUAAAAGACCUGUCUUCAGGUCAAGGUCCCUAAAAAUAAAUCUUCUCACCACAGAACACAGGGGUGUGCUUAUUUAGUUUUGUUUAAUAAAAUAUUUAUUGAACUCUUAUUGAAGUUCAAUUAACUUUAUUCAUUAUAAGAUAUUAUACUAACACUGUCACAAAUUUAAAGACAAGACAAUUUCCUCAUUACACCUCCACUGGAAACACAACCAUGAUUUCCAUUUUUAGGCAUUCCUUUCUAGGCUAUCUAUACGCUUACCGUUUUUUUUUUUUUUUUUUGGCAGUCAUCAAAUGGUUUAUAUAAUUUUGCACAUAUCUUUUUUCACAGCAUAAAACCUUUAUAAUUGCCAUUUUAAUGGUUACUCAACAUUUUAUUCAGUUUUAAUUGACUUAUCUAUUCCCGUGUGGUUGACAUUUAGGCCAU